rnacentral:rRNA from 1 species
UACGUAGGGGGCAAGCGUUGUCCGGAUUUAUUGGGCGUAAAGAGCGUGUAGGCGGCCAGAUAGGUCCGUUGUGAAAACUCGAGGCUCAACCUCGAGACGCCGAUGGAAACCAUUUGGCUAGAGUCCGGAAGAGGAGAGUGGAAUUCCUGGUGUAGCGGUGAAAUGCGCAGAUAUCAGGAAGAACACCCGUGGCGAAGGCGGUUCUCUGGGACGGUACUGACGCUGAGACGCGAAAGCGUGGGGAGCGAACAGG